rnacentral:misc_RNA from 1 species
ACCCUUGACCACGGUAUAGUCAGCGACUGGGGUGAAGUCGUAACAAGGUAGCCGUAGGGGAACCUGCGGCUGGAUUACCUCCUUUCUAAGGAUGAAUGAAAGUAAAAUUUCAUUCUAAAUAAUAUACAUCGGUAAUGUUGACCGUCCUCAUUUCUCUUCUUAAAGUAAUGUUUCCUUCUUGUAGGGCCGGUAGCUCAGUUGGUUAGAGCACACCCUUGAUAAGGGUGGGGUCGAAAGUUCGAGUCUUUCUCAGCCCACCAUACUUAACUGGGGGAUUAGCUCAGCUGGGAGAGCGCCUGAUUUGCAUUCAGGAGGUCAGCGGUUCGAUCCCGCUAUCCUCCACCAGGAAACAUUUAGUUAUAAAAACUGUAAAUAAAUUAAUAAUUAAUAUCAAUAUCUAUAUCCGAACAUUAGUAAUGUUAUUAGCUAAUGUUCAAAAUAAAAAUUUGAUCACAACAUAGAUUAAUUUUCUUUUAAAAGAAUUUUUUUCUGUGCAUAAAUCAAGCGUUUAAGGGCGUGUAGUGGAUGCCUUGGCACUGAAAGCCGAUGAAGGACGUGAUAUACUGCGAUAAGUUUCGGGGAGCUGUAUGUAAGUUUUGAUCCGAAAAUUU